CAUGAUGCAAGGGUUCUCGCCAACUCCGAUCUUUACAGUAUUGCUGAGGACAAGCUUGGUGGAUGGCUUUUCCCUCGAGAGAAAUCGGUGAUCGUACAUGGUGUGGACAUCCCGGUCCAUCUCAUUGGUGAUGCAGCAUACCCAUUACAGCGCUGGCUAAUGAAGGGCUACACCCAGCAUGUUCACUUAUCCCCCGAACAGACAUCAUAUACCCAUGCCCUAAGUUCGGCCCGUAUGGCAGUGGAGAAUGCGUUUGGGCGUUUAAAAGGACGCUGGCGCUGCCUCAUGAAGAGGAAUGAUGUGGACUUGAAAAUAAUGCCAGAUAUAGUAGCGGCCUGCUGCAUUCUCCAUAACAUUUGUGAGAUACAAAAGGAAAACUUUCUCCCCGAGUGGAAUGUACAUGAUCAUGGGGCGGGGGUCACUGUACAUGAUGGCACCAGGCUUGGUGGGGCGGCAUGACGCUGCCAGCGAGUGCAUAAGGGCCACCAUUGCAGCUAAUCUUCAAACAAUGUUGCAGUAGAGAAAACAGACAAGUUUUUGUGUGCAAACAAUUUUUGUUUAUUUUGUUUUUUAAGUUAUAAAAAUUUGGUUCAAAA